CUCCUGAUGGCACAGUUGGUAGCGCGUUGGACUGUAAUUGAAAUUGCUUGUAAUCCACAGGUCGUGUGUUCGAAUCACACUCAGGAGA
rnacentral:tRNA from 1 species